GCCAUGGUGAAGAGAGCUGAAAGGCAACUGGAGACCUGCAGGCACCUAAAAGGCUGGGAAGUCCAAGGUUGAAGUGCCAGCCAAUUCAGGUGAGAGAUAGGACCACUAAUUGUUUACUCAUUUCAACCAGUAAACAUGUCCUGCAAUGUCAAUCUGUCUUUCUGCUACAGCAGUUCUGCGCCUCCUGAGUUGUUUCCAUCACCCUCCAGUCGUUCAGGACCACCAAUGAGAUUUGUGACAUUUGGAAAACUGCCACCCAGUGCCUCCUUUUCCUAAUCU
rnacentral:lncRNA from 1 species